rnacentral:rRNA from 1 species
GAUGAACGCUGGCGGCGUGCCUAAUACAUGCAAGUCGAACGCAUAGCGAAAGGUGCUUGCACCUUUCAAGUGAGUGGCGAACGGGUGAGUAACACGUGGACAACCUGCCUCAAGGCUGGGGAUAACAUUUGGAAACAGAUGCUAAUACCGAAUAAAACUUAGUGUCGCAUGACACAAAGUUAAAAGGCGCUUCGGCGUCACCUAGAGAUGGAUCCGCGGUGCAUUAGUUAGUUGGUGGGGGUAAAGGCCUACCAAGACAAUGAUGCAUAGCCGAGUUGAGAGACUGAUCGGCCACAUUGGGACUGAGACACGGCCCAAACUCCUACGGGAGGCUGCAGUAGGGAAUCUUCCACAAUGGGCGAAAGCCUGAUGGAGCAACGCCGCGUGUGUGAUGAAGGCUUUCGGGUCGUAAAGCACUGUUGUAUGGGAAGAACAGCUAGAAUAGGAAAUGAUUUUAGUUUGACGGUACCAUACCAGAAAGGGACGGCUAAAUACGUG